UCUCAGAUGACACUUAUCUUAGGCACUUGU
rnacentral:piRNA from 1 species